rnacentral:rRNA from 1 species
GAUGAACGCUAGCGGCAGGCCUAAUACAUGCAAGUCGAGGGGCAGCAGGAAUAGCAAUAUUCGCUGGCGACCGGCGCACGGGUGCGUAACACGUAUACAAUCUGCCUUUAACAGGGGGAUAGCCCGGAGAAAUCCGGAUUAAUACCCCAUAACAGUGAUCUUGGCAUCAAGGACACUUAAAAGCUCCGGCGGUUAAAGAUGAGUAUGCGUCUGAUUAGCUAGUUGGUGAGGUAACGGCUCACCAAGGCGACGAUCAGUAGGGGAUCUGAGAGGCUUAACCCCCACACGGAAGCUGAGACACAGAUCCGGCUCCUACGGGAGGCAGCAGUAAGGAAUAUUGGACAAUGCCCGCAAGGGUGAUCCAGCCAUGCCGCGUGCAGGAAGGCGGCCCUAUGGGUUGUAAACUGCUUUUACACCGGAGAAAACCCCACUACGUGUAGUGGGCUGAUAGUAUGGUGAGAAUAAGCAUCGGCUAACUUCGUGCCAGCCGCCGCGGUAA